GACCUGGUGGCGGAGUGGUCCGCACCCACAAAUAAUAGUAGGAGACGAGCGUUUUCGCUGGGAGGUCCUUGUUCGACUCAAGGCCAGGUUG